CGGACGGGUGAGGAAUACAUCGGAAUCUACUCUGUCGUGGGGGAUAACGUAGGGAAACUUACGCUAAUACCGCAUACGACCUACGGGUGAAAGCAGGGGACCUUCGGGCCUUGCGCGAUUGAAUGAGCCGAUGUCGGAUUAGCUAGUUGGCGGGGUAAAGGCCCACCAAGGCGACGAUCCGUAGCUGGUCUGAGAGGAUGAUCAGCCACACUGGAACUGAGACACGGUCCAGACUCCUACAGGAGGCAGCAGUG
rnacentral:rRNA from 1 species